AGCAGCCGCGGUAAUUCCAGCUCCAAUAGCGUAUAUUAAAGUUGUUGCAGUUAAAAAGCCCGUAGUUGAAUUUCGAGAUCAAUUUGUCGGUCGUGCCUCGGUACGUACUGGCAUUAUUGAUUUCUCCCUUCUGAAGAACCGCGAUGUCAUUAAUUUGGUGUCGUGGGGAAUCAGGACUGUUACUUUGAAAAAAUUAGAGUGUUUAAAGCAGGCGCACGCUUGAAUACAUUAGCAUGGAAUAAUGAAAUAGGACGUUUGAUUCUAUUUUGUUGGUUUCUAGGAUCGACGUAAUGAUUAAUAGGGAUAGUUGGGGGCAUUAGUAUUCAAUUGUCAGAGGUGAAAUUCUUGGAUUUAUUGAAGACUAACUACUGCGAAAGCAUUUGCCAAGGAUGUUUUCAUUAAUCAAGAACGAAAGUUAGGGGAUCGAAGACGAUCAGAUACCGUCGUAGUCUUAACCAUAAACUAUGCCGACUAGGGAUCGGAUGAUGUUAAUUUUUAAUGUACUCAUUC
rnacentral:rRNA from 1 species